rnacentral:rRNA from 1 species
AGCGAACGCUGGCGGCAGGCUUAACACAUGCAAGUCGAGCGGGCAUAGCAAUAUGUCAGCGGCAGACGGGUGAGUAACGCGUGGGAACGUACCUUUUGGUUCGGAACAACACAGGGAAACUUGUGCUAAUACCGGAUAAGCCCUUACGGGGAAAGAUUUAUCGCCGAAAGAUCGGCCCGCGUCUGAUUAGCUAGUUGGUGAGGUAAUGGCUCACCAAGGCGACGAUCAGUAGCUGGUCUGAGAGGAUGAUCAGCCACAUUGGGACUGAGACACGGCCCAAACUCCUACGGGAGGCAGCAGUGGGGAAUAUUGGACAAUGGGCGCAAGCCUGAUCCAGCCAUGCCGCGUGAGUGAUGAAGGCCCUAGGGUUGUAAAGCUCUUUUGUGCGGGAAGAUAAUGAUGGUACCGCAAGAAUAAGCCCCGGCUAACUUCGUG